GGGGUUGUAGCUCAAUGGUAGAGCACUUGCCUAGCAUGUGUGAGGCACUGGGUUCAAUCCUCAGCACCA
rfam:Ictidomys tridecemlineatus contig057062, whole genome shotgun sequence.